GUGCUCACUUCAGCAGCACAUAUACUAACAUUGGAACAAUUCAGAGAUUAGCAUGGCCCCUGCACAAGAAAAAUCUGGUUUUUUAACUGAUCUAGUUCAUCAAA